ensembl:antisense 1700026D11Rik RIKEN cDNA 1700026D11 gene
CUGGACAAGAUGGCCCUUCUUGAGUCAGUCUGGACUCCAGACUGAGGUGCACUAGUGAGUCAGGGGAAUGUUGGUGGAAAGGUGGAAGUCGGGAAGGUGACCAGUGGUCAACAGGCUCAAGCCAUCCAGGCACACACACCGUGUGGGUGUGCCCAGCACCUUGGGGGAUGAAGCAGCUUCUAGUAGAGGGACUCCCCUGGAUGGGAAGCCAACAUGCCUGCUUAUACUGAAGACCAGCUGAGACAUCCAGCUUUGUGGACUGAACAACUUCUGGAUUCUUGCACUUUCUGUUCAUGUUCAUAGCCUGCCAUUGUUGGACUAGCUACUAGCUGAAUCACAGCGUUUGGAAUCCUUUUGUUUCUUCUUCUUGCCAACUUUCUUCCUAGAACGUCCAACUCACUGUUGAAUAGAAAUAUCUCUCGAAGGUGGUAUCCUCGUCUUCCUGUUCAUCUGUGGGCUUUCAUGGGUGUCCUCUAUCGGCAGGAGGUGUGUUCUCUUUUUGGUCCUCCCUCAACAACUGUUUUCCUUAUGAAGAGGCACUAGAUUUAUGUACCCCAUACUUUUUCUGU